AGCUCAGUGAGUAGAGCAUGAGAUUCUUAAUCUCAAGGUUGUGGGUUCAAGCCCCAC
rnacentral:tRNA from 1 species